GUCUCUUUGGCAGCACAUAUACUAAAAUUAAAAUGAUACAGAGAAUAUUAGCAUGGCCCCUGCACAAGAAUGACAUGCAGAUUUGUGAAGUGUUCCAUUAUGUG